UACGGAGGGUGCAGGCGUUAUCCGGAUUCACUGGGUUUAAAGGGUGCGUAGGUGGGCAGUUAAGUCAGUGGUGAAAUCUCCGGGCUCAACCCGGAAACUGCCAUUGAUACUAUCUGUCUUGAAUAUCGUGGAGGUAAGCGGAAUAUGUCAUGUAGCGGUGAAAUGCUUAGAUAUGACAUAGAACACCAAUUGCGAAGGCAGCUUACUACCCGAAUAUUGACACUGAGGCACGAAAGCGUGGGGAUCAAACAGG
rnacentral:rRNA from 1 species